rnacentral:rRNA from 1 species
GCAGCUUACCAUGCAGAUCGAGGGGUAUAGUACAAUACUAGAGACCGGCGCACGGGUGCGUAACGCGUAUGCAAUCUACCUUUUGCAGGGGAAUAGCCCAGAGAAAUUUGGAUUAAUGCCCCAUAGUAUAUAGACCUCGCAUGAGGAUUAUAUUAAAGUCACAACGGCAAAAGAUGAGCAUGCGUCCCAUUAGCUAGUUGGUAAGGUAACGGCUUACCAAGGCUACGAUGGGUAGGGGUCCUGAGAGGGAGAUCCCCCACACUGGUACUGAGACACGGACCAGACUCCUACGGGAGGCAGCAGUGAGGAAUAUUGGACAAUGGGCGCAAGCCUGAUCCAGCCAUGCCGCGUGCAGGAUGAAGCAUCUAUGGUGUGUAAACUGCUUUUGUACGAGAAGAAACACUGCUUCGUGAAGCAGCUUGACGGUAUCGUAAGAAUAAGGAUCGGCUAACUCCGUGCCAGCAGCCGCGGUAAUACGGAGGAUCCAAGCGUUAUCCGGAAUCAUUGGGUUUAAAGGGUCCGUAGGCGGGCUAGUAAGUCAGUGGUGAAAUCUCUCGGCUCAACCGGGAAAUGGCCAUUGAUACUGCUAGUCUUGUAAUUAUUAGGAAGUAACUAGAAUAUGUAGUGUAGCGGUGAA